CUGUGCGAGGUGUCGUUCUUUUUUACUCUGCGAAAUUCAACAUUUGAAAUACAAUAGCAAGACUAAUUAUCUGUUUAUAGAAUUAGUAUCCGGAAUCAUGAUUUCUGAGUGAAAUUCAGUUGAGCAGAAAAUGAUGAGGGAACAUCUACAUCAAAGUAAUGGCAUUCCAUACAAAUAAAAAUCCAAUGGGAUCAAGUUCUUAGCAGUCCCAGCCCAGUCAGAAGUACAAAGUCAACUACCAUUUACACAUCACCAAGAGUUACAGUCUGAUGAGGAACAGGAUAUUUGAACUGAAAACUUGUAAGGUUCCGCAGGCAGUUUGAGUAUCACCAGGGCAGAUUAUAAGAAGAAAUAUGGAGGCCAAGUUCAUAACAAGUAGCUACUUCAUCAC